UUGUGGAGGAGGACGCCGAAGGUGGGGCUAAUGACUGGGGUGAAGUCGUAACAAGGUAGCCGUACCGGAAGGUGCGGCUGGAUCACCUCCUAACAGGGAGACAACAAAAUGUUUAAUAUUAUUUUGUCACCUUAGGUCGAUCGGUAUCUCACGUUCUUGAUUUAUUGAGAAUUUCAUUUCCUAAGUUUUUCUAGGUCACACCCAUUAUUUUUCCUGGGCCAUUAGCUCAGGUGGUUAGAGCGCACCCCUGAUAAGGGUGAGGUCCCUGGUUCAAGUCCAGGAUGGCCCAUAUCUCUAUGUUGGGGGUAUAGCUCAGUUGGUAGAGCGCCUGCUUUGCAAGCAGGAUGUCAGCGGUUCGAGUCCGCUUACCUCCACUGAUUACCACCUCUUCCAUAUCUCAGAUAAAGGAAAUUUUUUGAGUUGUGAUCAAAUUCUGAACGAAUCUAGCUUCCUAAUGAAAUCAUUAAGAUGCUGGACUCAUUGAAUUAAUUUCAUUGUUUUCAGAGAACCUUGACAACUGCAUAGAUUAUUUUUAAAGACAAUAAGCAUCUUUAAUGAUGUAGAUUAUUAUUUUUGCGAAUGCAUUAAUAACAAUUCUAUUAAGCUGAUGCUUCAAUUUUGAAGUUAUUGGUCAAGCUACAA
rnacentral:misc_RNA from 1 species